rnacentral:lncRNA from 1 species
UGACUUGAGACCGUCAUGGUGACUUGCAAGCAACUCACUGCACUUAGGCAUUGGACUACCUGAAUUUCUAAUUCAGUGACGAAAGGCUGCUGGGUGUAGUCAAGUACUUGACUUGUCGGUGUGUGUGUCAAGAUGGGAUUGACCACCCCAGUUUAGGAGCUGUGUACAGUCGUAUUUUAAUUUAGCAAAACCUUGGCCAGGGUAGUCCUUGUGAGGAGUCACAGGACUGUUUGAGUUGAGCACGAUUCGGAUGAUCUGAUCAGGGUUGACAGUUUAACCCUGAGUCAUCCUAAACACAGGGAUCAAAAGGAUGAAUUAUACAGCAACCAUAUUCAUGUAGGUUCUGAGUGUUAUGAUUGUGACUCUUCGAUCUAUCCGGAUAUCAGGUACCAUUGCUAGAUAGUCAGUUUGAUUAGUACAGGAAUUGGUUCUUGUGCUACCGACUUAGGUUCGAACCUAUGGGGUCACACACAUUAGAGGUUUCUAUCUGAUAUGAUGGCUGAUGUAGAAUCCUACAUGUUUGAGACUUAGUGAUCGAGAAUCAGGAUUCUCUGAUCAUGAGUUCCACACAUUAUGGGUACUGGGGUCAAGAGUCCCACUGGUUGGGACUUUUCGAUCAGGGUUACAUAUCGAUGAAUUCUGAUGCCCGAUUG